UAAUUAUUUAACGGGCAUCUCUCUUUUAUUACCCUAACAGCUUAACGAGGAGGAGGAAGGGGGAAGAAAAAAAGAGGGGGAUUAGAGAUUUGCCUNCGAGCGCGCAUCUCGGGGCAGCGCCGGCGGCACCAGCGCCGCGCUGCCGCGGGUUCUCCGCGCCCCCUCCCGCCACCCCCCCGCCGCCAGCCCUCCCCCCGCCGCCCCCUCCCCGCCGCUACCUUCGCCAGGGGAGAGAACGCGGCUCCUGUGCUCAGGCGGGCUCCGGCGGCGCGCGGCGGCGGACGCCCAUCCCCAGCCGCUUUCCGUGCCUCCCCGCCCGGCGAGAACUACUUGUUGGUGGGUUUCCGAUUGGGGGAUGAUUUUCCGCCCUCAGGUAGCUGUUUUGCCUCCCUGCACGCUCAACUCCGAAAGGCGCAAAAGCGGCUCCCGCCGCCCGCUCGGAGACCCCGCUCCCAUCGUUUCACGGGGGAGACGCAGCCCUUCCCCGCCGGGACUGCGAGCCGGCACCGCGGGCGGCAGGCGGAGCCAUGGGCGGCGGGUCGGGGCACCCCGGGGACGGGGCUGCCGCGCUCCCAGCGCCUCUCCGGGAAAGCGGACCCGCGGGUGGACACGCACCUCAUUUGGGGCUGAGGCUCCUCCCCGGGGCGGGGGUAGAGGAGACGGCCCCCGCGCCCCUUCCAGCCCCCCACUCGCAGCCCUCUGGGGCGGAGGGAGGCGACGGCGAAAACAAAUGUCACAUCCCUCCGGAACAAGGCGGCGCCGCCUCCUCCCCGCUGCGCGCAGCUUUGGUUCACUUCGGGGGACCACGCGGGCAGGGAGCGGGGCUGAGGACAGGCGUGUGCCGGAGGAACGCAGGGAUGGCAGCGCCCCGCUACAGACAAGAUUGCCCAAAUCUGGACGGAGCUGUCUACUGCCAUGGAAACAGAACAGUAUUCUCAGGAGAUAA
rnacentral:lncRNA from 1 species